rnacentral:rRNA from 1 species
CUGGCUCAGGAUGAACGCUAGCUACAGGCUUAACACAUGCAAGUCGAGGGGCAUCGUUAUCGAAGCUUGCUUGAUAGAUGGCGACCGGCGCACGGGUGAGUAACGCGUAUCCAACCUUCCCCUUAGUAGAGGAUAGCCCGGCGAAAGUCGGAUUAAUACUCUAUGUUGUAUUUUGAGGACAUCUGACGAAUACCAAAGAUUUAUCGCUAAGGGAUGGGGAUGCGUCUGAUUAGCUUGUCGGCGGGGUAACGGCCCACCGAGGCGACGAUCAGUAGGGGUUCUGAGAGGAAGGUCCCCCACAUUGGUACUGAGACACGGACCAAACUCCUACGGGAGGCAGCAGUGAGGAAUAUUGGUCAAUGGGCGUAGGCCUGAACCAGCCAAGUAGCGUGCAGGACGACUGCCCUAUGGGUUGUAAACUGCUUUUAUGCGGGAAUAAAGUCAGGUACGCGUACCUGUUUGCAUGUACCGCAUGAAUAAGGACCGGCUAAUUCCGUGCCAGCCGCCGC